rnacentral:lncRNA from 1 species
UUCUAAAAUUUCCUUUUCUUUAAAAAUGGAAAUUAAUUCCACAUUACAGUAAAAGAGAAAAUCUCUCUGGAAAAUGAAAUUUAAUAGUUUUUUUCCCAAGUUAUUAGUAAAGGUUAAUUAAUGUUUGGUUGUAUUUUUAUAUAUUUAGUAUUCUUUUUUCCCAAGUCUAAGUUCUUGGGCCUUGAACCUGUCCUGUCUUGCACGGUUACUGUACUUGAACUUCCCAUGAAAUACAUAGAUCCAGAUUAAACUUGUCUUAAGUGAAUGGGAUGUUUAAAAUUAGAGAAUUUAUUGAGUUUUAAGAAUGUAGUAUUGUGGAUACAGGGAAAAAAUCAGAUCUUCUUGGGUGACUUCUAAAAACCAGUCAGAACAAUUGUUGCUAAUAAGCAGUAAUUUUCACUUGCACAGACCUUUCUCUUAUGGGAAUUUUGUGUAAUUAUAGAGAUAACUGCAAGAUGAUUCUUUUGGUGUUGUAGUUUCAAAAUUGCGCCUCUUGUUAAAAACAUAUCUGGUGGUUAUAUUUUAGAGGUAAAUGUUGGGUUUGAUGGUAUCUGUUUUGCUUUCCAUCUGUUUUCAUUACAGAUUUAUUGUGAGAACAGUGUUUAUUAUAUGGGUAUAUUUCCUUUUGUCCUAAAGUCAUUUCAUCUCCAUGCCAAUAAAAGUUGUCGUUCUUAACAAUUUUACAUUUCUCUUCAGCUUUAGUUCUUACAAAGUAAAUCUACCACUUAAUU